rnacentral:rRNA from 1 species
GAUGAACGCUAGCGGCAGGCUUAACACAUGCAAGUCGAGGGGUAUAGUAGCAAUACUAGAGACCGGCGCACGGGUGCGUAACGCGUAUGCAAUCUACCUUUUGCAGGGGAAUAGCCCAGAGAAAUUUGGAUUAAUGCCCCAUAGUAUAGUGACUCGGCAUCGAGAUACUAUUAAAGUUACAACGGCAAAAGAUGAGCAUGCGUCCCAUUAGCUAGUUGGUAAGGUAACGGCUUACCAAGGCGACGAUGGGUAGGGGUCCUGAGAGGGAGAUCCCCCCACACUGGUACUGAGACACGGACCAGACUCCUACGGGAGGCAGCAGUGAGGAAUAUUGGACAAUGGGCGCAAGCCUGAUCCAGCAAUGCCGCGUGCAGGANA